AUUCCAGUCCCAAUAAAUCAUCCUAUAGCUAGUUAUAAUACUGUCCGUGGAUGGCUGUUUCAUAAAUGACUGAAUUUGGCUCCUUCUCAUCCUAGAUAUAUAAUCUUCCUCCUGAAGUAUGGAUCAACUGAGCUCUAGCACCUAAAAUCAUGCUGAAAGGAUUAUAGGUCCACAGUUGAAAGGAAGGAGUUUUGGUUUGUAGUCUUGGCUCUACUAACCAGCUGAAUACCCUUGGUUCUGGAGGCUGGAAAGUCCAAGAUCAAGGUGUGAACAGAUUCAGUUCCUGGUGAGGACCCGCUUCCUGGCUGGUAGACAGCUGCCUUCAUUCAGACGAACGUUCAGUCCGUAACAGCAAGGAACCUCUGUAAUAUCAGCAGUUCCUGUGACUGUAUCAACAAUAGAAAUCACAGAGAUUUUUAUAUCCGUUACUGUUUUGCAGAUAUCUACACACUGAUCACUAUUUUGAAUUUAUGCUGGAUAUGAGACCUACUGCUUGAUUGUGUUAUUUGAUGCAUAAAGAAGCAUGUCUAUUACUAUAUCACUAUGUUUAAAACUUUUUUGGUAAUUGUAUGGAAAUAUAAUGGCUUUCAUUUGUGA